rnacentral:rRNA from 1 species
CAAGUCGAACGGCAGCACGGGAGCAAUCCUGGUGGCGAGUGGCGAACGGGUGAGUAAUACAUCGGAACGUGCCCAAUCGUGGGGGAUAACGCAGCGAAAGCUGUGCUAAUACCGCAUACGAUCUACGGAUGAAAGCAGGGGACCGCAAGGCCUUGCGCGAAUGGAGCGGCCGAUGGCAGAUUAGGUAGUUGGUGAGGUAAAGGCUCACCAAGCCUUCGAUCUGUAGCUGGUCUGAGAGGACGACCAGCCACACUGGGACUGAGACACGGCCCAGACUCCUACGGGAGGCAGCAGUGGGGAAUUUUGGACAAUGGGCGCAAGCCUGAUCCAGCCAUGCCGCGUGCAGGAUGAAGGCCUUCGGGUUGUAAACUGCUUUUGUACGGAACGAAACGGCUCUUUCUAAUAAAGAGGGCUAAUGACGGUACCGUAAGAAUAAGCACCGGCUAACUACGUGCCAGCAGCCGCGGUAAUACGUAGGGUGCAAGCGUUAAUCGGAAUUACUGGGCGUAAAGCGUGCGCAGGCGGUGAUGUAAGACAGUUGUGAAAUCCCCGGGCUCAACCUGGGAACUGCAUCUGUGACUGCAUCGCUGGAGUGCGGCAGAGGGGGAUGGAAUUCCGCGUGUAGCAGUGAAAUGCGUAGAUAUGCGGAGGAACACCGAUGGCGAAGGCAAUCCCCUGGGCCUGCACUGACGCUCAUGCACGAAAGCGUGGGGAGCAAACAGGAUUAGAUACCCUGAUAGUCCACGCCCUAAACGAUGUCGACUGGUUGUUGGGUCUUCACUGACUCAGUAACGAAGCU